rnacentral:rRNA from 1 species
AUUGAACGCUGGCGGCAUGCCUUACACAUGCAAGUCGAACGGUAACGCGGGGCAACCUGGCGACGAGUGGCGAACGGGUGAGUAAUAUAUCGGAACGUGCCAGUAGUGGGGGAUAGCCCGGCGAAAGCCGGAUUAAUACCGCAUACGACCUACGGGUGAAAGCGGGGGAUCGCAAGACCUCGCGCUAUUGGAGCGGCCGAUAUCAGAUUAGGUAGUUGGUGGGGUAAAAGCCUACCAAGCCGACGAUCUGUAGCUGGUCAGAGAGGACGAACAGCCACACUGGGACUGAGACACGGCCCAGACUCCUACGGGAGGCAGCAGUCGAGAAUUUUUCUCAAUGGGGGAAACCCUGAAGGAGCGACGCCGCGUGGAGGAUGAAUGUCUUCGGGUUGUAAACUCCUGUCAUUUGGGAACAAGGCGUACGUGUUAACUGCACGUGCGUUGAUAGUACCAGAAGAGGAAGAGACGGCUAACUCUGUGCCAGCCGCCGCUGUAACAC